rnacentral:rRNA from 1 species
AUUGAACGCUGGCGGCAGGCUUAACACAUGCAAGUCGAGCGGAGAUGAGGUGCUUGCACCUUAUCUUAGCGGCGGACGGGUGAGUAAUGCUUAGGAAUCUGCCUAUUAGUGGGGGACAACAUUCCGAAAGGAAUGCUAAUACCGCAUACGUCCUACGGGAGAAAGCAGGGGAUCUUCGGACCUUGCGCCAAUAGAUGAGCCUAGGUCGGAUUAGCUAGUUGGUGGGGUAAAGGCCUACCAAGGCGACGAUCUGUAGCGGGUCUGAGAGGAUGGUCCGCCACACUGGGACUGAGACACGGCCCAGACUCCUACGGGGGGCAGCAGUGGGGAAUAUUGGACAAUGGGGGGAACCCCGAUCCAGCCAUGCCGCGUGUGUGAAGAAGGCCUUAUGGUUGUAAAGCACUUUAAGCGAGGAGGAGGCUACUGAGACUAAUACUCUUGGAUAGUGGACGUUACUCGCAGAAUAAGCACCGGCUAACUCUGUGCCAGCCGCCGCCGUAACAC